CGCGUAGGCGGUCUGAAAAGUCGGAUGUGAAAUUCCGGGGCUCAACCCCGGAGCUGCAUUUGAAACUUUCGGACUUGAGGUUGGUAAGGGAAAACGGAAUUCCACGUGUAGCGGUGAAAUGCGUAGAUAUGUGGAAGAACACCGGUGGUGAAGACGGUUUUCUGUGCUAAACCUGACGCUGAGGCGCGAAAGCUAGGGGAGCAAACA
rnacentral:rRNA from 1 species